rnacentral:rRNA from 1 species
AUUGAACGCUGGCGGCAUGCUUUACACAUGCAAGUCGAACGCGGGUGAGGGGCAACUCUCACCUGAGUGGCGAACGGGUGAGUAAUACAUCGGAACGUGCCUCGUAGUGGGGGAUAGCUCGGCGAAAGCCGGAUUAAUACCGCAUACGAUCCACGGAUGAAAGCGGGGGACCGCAAGGCCUCGCGCUAUGAGAGCGGCCGAUGUCCGAUUAGCUUGUUGGUGAGGUAAAGGCUCACCAAGGCGACGAUCGGUAGCUGGUCUGAGAGGAUGAUCAGCCACACUGGGACUGAGACACGGCCCAGACUCCUACGGGAGGCAGCAGUGGGGAAUUUUGGACAAUGGGGGCAACCCUGAUCCAGCCAUGCCGCGUGAGUGAAGAAGGCCUUCGGGUUGUAAAGCUCUUUUGGCCGGAAAGAAAAGGCGUCGGAUAACACCCGGCGUUCUUGACGGUACCGGCAGAAUAAGCACCGGCUAACUACGUGCCAGCAGCCGCGGUAAUACGUAGGGUGCGAGCGUUAAUCGGAAUUACUGGGCGUAAAGCGUGCGUAGGCGGCUCCGCAAGUCCGCUGUGAAAUCCCCGGGCUUAACCUGGGAAUGGCAGUGGAAACUAUGGAACUUGAAUCCGGCAGAGGGGGGUGGAAUGCCACGUGUAGCAGUGAAAUGCGUANAGAUGUGGCGGAACACCGAUGGCGAAGGCAGCCCCCUGGGCCGAGAUUGACGCUCAGGCACGAAAGCGUGGGGAGCAAACAGGAUUAGAUACCCUGGUAGUCCACGCCCUAAACGAUGAUCACUAGGUGUUGGGGAAGCGAUUCUCUAGUACCGCAGCUAACGCGUGAAGUGAUCCGCCUGGGGAGUACGGUCGCAAGAUUAAAACUCAAAGGAAUUGACGGGGACCCGCACAAGCGGUGGAUGAUGUGGAUUAAUUCGAUGCAACGCGAAGAACCUUACCUACCCUUGACAUGUACGGAAGCCCGCUGAGAGGUGGGUGUGCCCGAAAGGGAGCCGUAACACAGGUGCUGCAUGGCUGUCGUCAGCUCGUGUCGUGAGAUGUUGGGUUAAGUCCCGCAACGAGCGCAACCCUUGUCUCCAGUUGCUACGCAAGGGCACUCUGGAGAGACUGCCGGUGACAAACCGGAGGAAGGUGGGGAUGACGUCAAGUCCUCAUGGCCCUUAUGGGUAGGGCCUCACACGUCAUACAAUGGCCGGUACAGAGGGUUGCCAAGGCGCGAGCCGGAGCCAAUCCCAGAAAGCCGGUCGUAGUCCGGAUUGAAGUCUGCAACUCGACUUCAUGAAGUCGGAAUCGCUAGUAAUCGCGGAUCAGCAUGUCGCGGUGAAUACGUUCCCGGGUCUUGUACACACCGCCCGUCACACCAUGGGAGUGGGGUUCACCAGAAGCAGGUAGCGUAACCGCAAGGAGCGCGCCUACCCAGCGGUGACGUUUCAUGAUCUGGGGUG